rnacentral:lncRNA from 1 species
UCCAUUUUCCGGAAGCAGUAUAUCAAAAGGAGUGACAGAAUAUAAAUACUGAGUUGUUUCCUUAUGGCCAUUAUUACAUGCCACUGUUACUGGGAGAUCAUCGUCUGCAAUAGUAACUAAAUCCAUGGUCUUUUUCAGCAUGCAUUCAGCAAUUUUUGUUGCUCCAGUAGCAGCAGCGCCAAUAAGAGCAGUCUCAUUCCGCUUAUCAACCGCAAGUACGUCUUCUACUGACAUUAACUCCACCAAAAACUCC